rnacentral:ncRNA from 1 species
GGCGGGAGGGCGGUGGAUACAAGACCCGAAAGGGAAAUAAAUCCACCUGCCUCUUGACAGGUUCUUACCCUCCCGCCACCAACGC